GACGAACGCUGGCGGCGUGCUUAACACAUGCAAGUCGAGCGGUAAGGCCCUUUCGGGGGUACACGAGCGGCGAACGGGUGAGUAACACGUGGGUGACCUGCCCUCAGCUCUGGGAUAAGCCUGGGAAACCGGGGUCUAAUACCGGAUAUGACUCCAUGACGCAUGUUGUGGGGUGGAAAGCCUUGUGCGGCUGAGGAUGGGCCCGCGGCCUAUCAGCUUGUUGGUGGGGGUGANGGCCUACCAAGGCGACGACGGGUAGCCGGCCUGAGAGGGCGACCGGCCACACUGGGACUGAGACACGGCCCAGACUCCUACGGGAGGCAGCAGUGGGGAAUCUUGCGCAAUGGGCGAAAGCCUGACGCAGCGACGCCGCGUGAGGGAUGACGGCCUC
rnacentral:rRNA from 1 species